ACCGCGCUGCACAACUGGCGAUGAGGCCUUCCAAAGGCCGGAGGUGGUCAACCACCGGGAAGUGUGGUCGGGGCGCGCACAUGGCGCGCCACGGUUCAGCCGUUCGCCUGGGCAGCUUCG
rnacentral:ncRNA from 2 species